rnacentral:rRNA from 1 species
AGAGUUUGAUCCUGGCUCAGAGCGAACGCUGGCGGCAGGCCUAACACAUGCAAGUCGAACGAACUCUUCGGAGUGAGUGGCGGACGGGUGAGUAACACGUGGAACGUACCCUUUGGUUCGGAACAACACAGGGAAACUUGUGCUAAUACCGGAUGUGCCCUUCGGGGGAAAGAUUUAUCGCCAUUGGAGCGGCCCGCGUUGGAUUAGCUAGUUGGUGGGGUAAAGGCCCACCAAGGCUCCGAUCCAUAGCUGGUCUGAGAGGAUGAUCAGCCACACUGGGACUGAGACACGGCCCAGACUCCUACGGGAGGCAGCAGUGGGGAAUCUUGCGCAAUGGGCGAAAGCCUGACGCAGCCAUGCCGCGUGAAUGAUGAAGGUCUUAGGAUUGUAAAAUUCUUUCAGCAGGGACGAUAAUGACGGUACCUGCAGAAGAAGCCCCGGCUAACUUCGUGCCAGCAGCCGCGGUAAUACGAAGGGGGCUAGCGUUGCUCGGAUUUACUGGGCGUAAAGGGCGCGUAGGCGGAUCGACAAGUUGGGGGUGAAAUCCCGGGGCUCAACCUCGGAACUGCCUCCAAAACUGCCGGUCUUGAGUUUGGGAGAGGUGUGUGGAACUCCGAGUGUAGAGGUGAAAUUCAUAGAUAUUCGGAAGAACACCAGUGGCGAAGGCGACACACUGGCCCAAUACUGACGCUGAGGCGCGAAAGCGUGGGUAGCAAACAGGAUUAGAUACCCUGGUAGUC